GACGAACGCUGGCGGCGUGCCUAAUACAUGCCAGUCGAACGAGAGCGACCGGUGCUUGCACUGGUCAAUCUAGUGGCGAACGGGUGAGUAACACGUGGGUAACCUGCCCAUCAGAGGGGGAUAACAUCCGGAAACGGAUGCUAAAACCGCAUAGGUCUUCGAACCGCAUGGUUUGAAGAGGAAAAGAGGCGCAAGCUUCUGCUGAUGGAUGGACCCGCGGUGCAUUAGCUAGUUGGUGAGGUAACGGCUCACCAAGGCCGUGAUGCAUAGCCGACCUGAGAGGGUGAUCGGCCACAUUGGGACUGAGACACGGCCCAAACUCCUACGGGAGGCAGCAGUAGGGAAUCUUCCGCAAUGGACGCAAGUCUGACGGAGCAACGCCGCGUGAGUGAAGAAGGUUUUCGGAUCGUAAAACUCUGUUGUUAGAGAAGAACAAGUGCUAGAGUAACUGUUAGCGCCUUGACGGUAGCUAACCAGAAAGCCACGGCUAACUACGUG
rnacentral:rRNA from 1 species